rnacentral:rRNA from 1 species
CCUACGGGAGGCAGCAGUGGGGAAUAUUGGGCAAUGGCCGCAAGCCUGACCCAGCAACGCCGCGUGAAGGAAGAAGGCUUUCGGGUUGUAAACUUCUUUUCUCAGGGACGAAGCAAGUGACGGUACCUGAGGAAUAAGCCACGGCUAACUACGUGCCAGCAGCCGCGGGAAUACGUAGGUGGCAAGCGUUAUCCGGAUUUACUGGGUGUAAAGGGCGUGUAGGCGGGAAAGCAAGUCAGAUGUGAAAACCAUGGGCUCAACCUGUGGCCUGCAUUUGAAACUGUUUUUCUGGAGUACUGGAGAGGCAGACGGAAUUCCUAGUGGAGCGGUGAAAUGCGUAGAUAUUAGGAGGAACACCAGUGGCGAAGGCGGUCUGCUGGACAGCAACUGACGCUGAGGCGCGAAAGCGUGGGGAGCAAACAGGAUUAGAUACCCGUGUAGUC